rnacentral:rRNA from 1 species
GACGAACGCUGGCGGCGUGCUUAACACAUGCAAGUCGAACGGUAAGGCCCUUCGGGGUACACGAGUGGCGAACGGGUGAGUAACACGUGGGUGAUCUGCCCUGCCCUCCGUGAUCAGCCUGGGAAACUGGGUCUAAUACCGGAUAGGACCACUGCCUGCAUGGGUGGUGGUGGAAAGCUCUUGCGGUGUGGGAUGGGCCCGCGGCCUAUCAGCUUGUUAGUGGGGUGAUGGCCUACCAAGGCGACGACGGGUAGCCGGCCUGAGAGGGUGACCGGCCACACUGGGACUGCGAUACGGCCCAGACUCCUACGGGAGGCAGCAGUGGGGAAUAUUGCACAAUGGGCGCAAGCCUGAUGCAGCGGCGCCGCGUGAGGGAUGACGGCCUUCGGGUUGUAAACCUCUUUCAGCACCGACGAAGCGCAAGUGACGGUAGGUGCAGAAGAAGGACCGGCCAACUACGUGCCAGCCGCCGCCGUAA